GUGCCAGCAGCCGCGGUAAUACGGAGGGGGUUAGCGUUGUUCGGAAUUACUGGGCGUAAAGCGCACGUAGGCGGAUCAGAAAGUUGGGGGUGAAAUCCCAGGGCUCAACCCUGGAACUGCCUCCAAAACUCCUGGUUUUGAGUUCGAGAGAGGUGAGUGGAAUUCCGAGUGUAGAGGUGAAAUUCGUAGAUAUUCGGAGGAACACCAGUGGCGAAGGCGGCUCACUGGCUCGAUACUGACGCUGAGGUGCGAAAGUGUGGGGAGCAAACAGGAUUAGAAACCCCGGUAGUCC
rnacentral:rRNA from 1 species